GGUGUUGUGGCUCAACGGAAGAGCCUCUGCUUUGCAUACAGAAACCCCCAGGUUCAAUCCCCAACAUUUCCA
rnacentral:tRNA from 1 species